rnacentral:rRNA from 1 species
CCUACGGGGCGCAGCAGUGGGGAAUAUUGCACAAUGGGGGAAACCCUGAUGCAGCGACGCCGCGUGAGUGAAGAAGUAUUUCGGUAUGUAAAGCUCUAUCAGCAGGGAAGAAAAUGACGGUACCUGAGUAAGAAGCCCCGGCUAACUACGUGCCAGCAGCCGCGGUAAUACGUAGGGGGCAAGCGUUAUCCGGAUUUACUGGGUGUAAAGGGAGCGUAGACGGCAGCACAAGUCUGGAGUGAAAUGCCGGGGCUUAACCCCGGAACUGCUUUGGAAACUGUGCAGCUAGAGUGCAGGAGAGGUAAGUGGAAUUCCUAGUGUAGCGGUGAAAUGCGUAGAUAUUAGGAGGAACACCAGUGGCGAAGGCGGCUUACUGGACUGUAACUGACGUUGAGGCUCGAAAGCGUGGGGAGCAAACAGGAUUAGAUACCCGAGUAGUC